UGCCAGCCGCCGCGGUAAUACGAGGGGUCCAAGCGUUAAUCGGAAUCACUGGGCUUAAAGGGUACGUAGGCGGCCCUGUAAGCAUCUCGUGAAAUCCCACGGCUCAACCGUGGAAUUGCGGGGUGAACUACAGGGCUUGAGGCAGGUAGAGGUUGUCGGAACGAUCGGUGGAGCGGUGAAAUGCGUUGAUAUCGAUCGGAACGCCAAAGGAGAAGUCAGGCAACUGGGCCUGUCCUGACGCUGAGGUACGAAAGCGUGGGUAGCGAACGGGAUUAGAUA
rnacentral:rRNA from 1 species